ACUUUGAUGUGAUAUUUCAAUUUAUGGAAUGUAUUCCUGUCAUGUAUACUAUACCGCACCAUGCUGAUUUAGGUAAAAAAUACAGAAUACAGUAUACAGCUAGAGAUACUGAGAGUCAGAUGAAAUGUCAAUACCAGAAGUCAGAAAAUAUAGACUGAUCUGGGACCAAUAAGGAAACCAUGACAGGGCAAGGGUAUCAGAGAAAAAACACAAUUUAAACUGUUAGGUGCAUUUUAAUUUUUCCGUGUCAUGCCUAUGAUCCCAAAAUGUAUGACA